GAUUUUUCUGCUGCUCCUGGAGCACAAGGCUUAUCCUGGCUCAGGCCCCUGAAUGGCUGAAGGGUGGGUGAAACCAGAUCCUGAGGUGCUUAUUUAGAAAAGCCUCCUGUUGACUCUCACAGUGUGACUGCACAGCAUCCACAGGAACACAGCCCAGAAAUGUGACCCAAUAAAUGCCGUGUCUUCAGCCAUCAAUCUGCACUGUGAUGGCAGCGGUGGUGGGGAGAUGAAGCAGAUCACCACUGGAUACCAAGACCCAGGGGAAAAUGCCCCCUCCCUUUCCAUUCCAUUAUGAAAGUGAUGAAUCAGUCCAGGAAAGGUUAAAUGUCAUGUCCUGGGGACAUCCAGGAGGGCAGAAGCAGAGCAGGGCACAUCCCAAACCCCAGCAUUGCAGUUGGGUGCCAGGGCUCUAGAUGGAACCUUCCCUCUGUGCCUUCAACAUUAUUUACUUAAAAAAUACAGUAAUAUCUAGCUCUGCUGGUAAAUAUUUCAGAAUGCCUAAUAUAAAAUUCAAUAAAGUUAUAAUGCCAAUAGGGGAGGAAACUAUUUCCUUGGGGUAACAGGCUCUUUGUAUCAAAUAAAUGCUGGAGCAAAGGUUUGAGCUGUAAUGGUAAGAGACAAUCAAGGCAGGCCAAGGGAGGAACUGUUGGAUGCUGUGACUGGGGGAUUUUUUGCUGGUGCUUUUUGUGUUGGCAUCUAAGAGCUCCUCUCCUAAAGGUGCUGAGCAGCCACAUUCCCUAUGGGAGACAGUGGUGCUUAACACUUCCAAAAUUUUGGCCUCUAAAGAUGAAACCUGCUAUUUUGGCUGUAUCUGAAGGUGAGUGACAGCUGCUCAGUGAAGCUAUUUGGAGUAAAUCUCCAAAGGAGACAAUACAGGGCUUUUCCUCUGCUGUUUUCCACCCUUGGGAAGAGCUCUGUGCUUCUGGCUUGGAGCUGGGGCAAGUCCCAGAGGCACAGGAUCCUCAGGAGUCCAGCCUGUUCUUCCACCACUUUUGCCUGCAUUAAAGACUCCCAAAAUUUGGGCACAGCAAUCUGGGGAAGUAUGAGCAGGGGAUUCCCAAGA